rnacentral:rRNA from 1 species
AAAAGCGGAGGAAAAGAAACCAACAGGGAUUGCCCUAGUAACGGCGAGUGAAGCGGCAACAGCUCAAAUUUGAAAUCUGGCUCUCGGGCCCGAGUUGUAAUUUGUAGAGGAUACUUUUGAUGCGGUGCCUUCCGAGUUCCCUGGAACGGGACGCCAUAGAGGGUGAGAGCCCCGUCUGGUUGGAUGCCAAAUCUCUGUAAAGUUCCUUCAACGAGUCGAGUAGUUUGGGAAUGCUGCUCUAAAUGGGAGGUAUAUGUCUUCUAAAGCUAAAUACCGGCCAGAGACCGAUAGCGCACAAGUAGAGUGAUCGAAAGAUGAAAAGCACUUUGAAAAGAGAGUUAAAAAGUACGUGAAAUUGUUGAAAGGGAAGCGUUUAUGACCAGACUUGGGCUUGGUUAAUCAUCUGGGGUUCUCCCCAGUGCACUUUUCCAGUCCAGGCCAGCAUCAGUUUUCCCCGGGGGAUAAAGGCGGCGGGAAUGUGGCUCUCUUCGGGGAGUGUUAUAGCCCACCGUGUAAUACCCUGGGGGGGACUGAGGUUCGCGCAUCUGCAAGGAUGC